CCUACGGGUGGCAGCAGUCGAGAAUCAUUCACAAUGGGGGAAACCCUGAUGGUGCGACGCCGCGUGGGGGAAUGAAGGUCUUCGGAUUGUAAACCCCUGUCAUGUGGGAGCAAAUUAAAAAGAUAGUACCACACGAGGAAGAGACGGCUAACUCUGUGCCAGCAGCCGCGGUAAUACAGAGGUCUCAAGCGUUGUUCGGAAUCACUGGGCGUAAAGCGUGCGUAGGCUGUUUCGUAAGUCGUGUGUGAAAGGCGGGGGCUCAACCCGCGGAUGGCAUAUGAUACUGGGAGACUAGAGUAAAGGAGGGGGAACCGGAAUGCUCGGUGUAGCAGUGAAAUGCGUAGAGAUCGAGAGGAACACUCGUGGCGAAGGCGGGUUCCUGGACAUUAACUGACGCUGAGGCACGAAGGCCAGGGGAGCGAAAGGGAUUAGAUACCCCGGUAGUC
rnacentral:rRNA from 1 species